rnacentral:rRNA from 1 species
GAUAACUCCGGGAAACCGGGGCUAAUACCGGAUGCUUGUUUGAACCGCAUGGUUCAAUUAUAAAAGGUGGCUUUUAGCUACCACUUACAGAUGGACCCGCGGCGCAUUAGCUAGUUGGUGAGGUAACGGCUCACCAAGGGACGAUGCGUAGCCGACCUGAGAGGGUGAUCGGCCACACUGGGACUGAGACACGGCCCAGACUCCUACGGGAGGCAGCAGUAGGGAAUCUUCCGCAAUGGACGAAAGUCUGACGGAGCAACGCCGCGUGAGUGAUGAAGUUUUCGGAUCGUAAAACUCUGUUGUUAGGGAAGAACAAGUACCGUUCGAACAGGGCGGUACCUUGACGGUACCUAACCAGAAAGCCACGGCUAACUACGUGCCAGCAGCCGCGGUAAUACGUAGGUGGCAAGCGUUGUCGGAAUUAUUGGGCGUAAAGCGCGCGCAGGCGGUUUCUUAAGUCUGAUGUGAAAGCCCCCGGCUCAACCGGGGAGGGUCAUUGGAAACUGGGGAACUUGAGUGCAGAAGAGGAGAGUGGAAUUCCACGUGUAGCGGUGAAUGCGUAGAGAUGUGGAGGAACACCAGUGGCGAAGGCGACUCUCUGGUCUGUAACUGACGCUGAGGCGCGAAAGCGUGGGGAGCGAACAGGAUUAGAUACCCUGGUAGUCCACGCCGUAAACGAUGAGUGCUAAGUGUUAAGGGUUUCCGCCCUUUAGUGCUGCAGCAAACGCAUUAAGCACUCCGCCUGGGGAGUACGGUCGCAAGACUGAAACUCAAAGGAAUUGACGGGGGCCCGCACAAGCGGUGGAGGUGGUUUAAUUCGAAGCAACGCGAGAACCUUACCAGGUCUUGACAUCCUCUGACACCCCUAGAGAUAGGGCUUCCCCUUCGGGGGCAGAGUGACAGGUGGUGCAUGGUUGUCGUCAGCUCGUGUCGUGAGAUGUUGGGUUAAGUCCCGCAACGAGCGCAA